GACGAACGCUGGCGGCGCGCUUAACACAUGCAAGUCGAACGGAAAGGCCUGCUUUCCCUUGUGGAUUGCGGGUACUCGAGUGGCGAACGGGUGAGUAACACGUGAUUGAUCUGCCCCCAACUUGGGUAUAAGCCUGGGAAACUGGGUCUAAUUCCCGGUAGGACUGCAGGGUGGUGCCUGUGGUGGAAAACGAUUUUCUAGUGGGUGGGGAUGAGCUCGCGGCCUAUCAGCUUGGUGGUGGGGUAAUGGCCUACCAAGGCGGCGACGGGUAGCCGGACUGAGAGGAGCGACGCCGGCAUUGGGACUGGGACCCGGCCCAGACUCGUGCGGGAGGCGGCGGUGGGGAGUCUUGCGGCGUGGGCGGAAGCCUGCUGCAGCGACGCCGCGUGGGGGAUGACGGCCUUCGGGUUGUCAUCUCCUUUCGACCGCGAGGAAGCCACCUGGUUGGAAGGGUGGUGACGGUAGUGGUAGAAGAAGCACCGGCUAACUACGUG
rnacentral:rRNA from 1 species